AGUGAACGCUGGCGGCAGGCCUAACACAUGCAAGUCGAGCGGCAGCGGGUCCUUCGGGAUGCCGGCGAGCGGCGGACGGGUGAGGAAUACAUCGGAAUCUGCCCUGUCGUGGGGGAUAACCUAGGGAAACUUAGGCUAAUACCGCAUACGACCUACGGGUGAAAGCGGGGGAUCGCAAGACCUCGCGCGACAGGAUGAGCCGAUGUCCGAUUAGCUAGUUGGCGGGGUAAAGGCCCACCAAGGCGACGAUCGGUAGCUGGUCUGAGAGGAUGAUCAGCCACACUGGGAGUGAGACACGGCCCAGACUCCUACGGGAGGCAGCAGUGGGGAAUAGUGGACAAUGGGCGCAAGCCUGAUCCAGCCAUGCCGAGUGGGUGAAGACGGCCUUCGGGUUGUAAAGCCCUUUUGUCCGGGAAGAAAUCGUCUGGGCUAAUACCCCGGGCGGAUGACGGUACCGGAAGAAUAAGCACCGGCUAACUUCGUG
rnacentral:rRNA from 1 species